CUGCUGCGGGAGGCGCGCGCGCUUGCAUUGCUGUUGCCCGCGCCACGACGCAAGCUCGCCGCUUACUCCGUCUCUAAGGUCAUCGGCACGAUAUUCGGCAAAAACAGCAAGAGUGUCCGAAAGAAACGACCGUCGUUAAGUAUUUAAGAAAACUAUUUAUACAUUUAAUUAUUAAAACCAUGGACUGCUAAAUUCGUAUAUUAGAAUAGUGUAAGCAAACAUUACUUGGAACUAUAUGUGGAGUUAAAUAAUUGUGUUUGUUAGUAAUUCUUUUGUAAAAUAAAGAAAUUGCAAAAUGUAAUGAUCGGGGUGCCAUGUGCAUUUUUCUAUCUAAAUAGAUAUGUAAAAUGAUAUCUUAUAUGACUUUAAUAUGAAUAUUAAAAAUAUCUAACUUCACAAUAGUUUCUGACUAAUUUUGCAAAUAUUUUGUAUAUAGUUUAUCAAAACUCUUUUGUUAAGUGUAAAAUAAAGUUAAUUAUUUGUGCUAGUAUUUUCCAAUCAUCAGAUAUCUCAGCCUAGGUUAGACGAUUACAUCCACCUUCAAAUUUAUUUAGUUAUUUACUUAGUUUUUCCAAGGAAUAAAACAUUAUUAUGUUUACUGGAAUUACAGAAUUGUACAAAAGGUAAAAACUUCUGUACAAGACCUCGCAUUAGUUAAUAAUUAAAAGUAAACGAUUAUCAUGUAAAUAUUAAGAAUUAAGUGCCUUUUGUAAGUUAGAUUUAAGUUACAUUAAUAACAUUAAAAUAAGUACAAUGUGUCAUGAAAAAUAUGAAUUUGAGUACAUACAAAUUGCUGGCUGAUUACGAAAUAAAUUUGUAUUUUAUAA